CUUUCAUCUCCUACUGCAAGAUUUUUAGAUUCUCUCAAAUAAUUGCUGCAGGAAUGGGUGGCCACGUAGUUACUACUCUGGUAGAAUUUAUUUAGGUUUUGUUUCAGUUCAGUUUUGUUUUUUGAGAGAAAUAGUUAAGUGUAAAAUAGCAUUGUCAAGAUGAGACAAUGACUUAUUAUUUGUUCAUCACAUUUCACCUAAAAUAAUUUGAAGCACUCUUGAAGAUUUUUACCAACACCCAUAAAUUAACUCCAGAAUGAAUGAGCAGCUGAUUUAAUACAAACCAAAAAUAGCAUCAAGUAGAUGUGGUUUUUUUGUUUUAUGUGAGGUUUCACUUCCUGCCUUGUUGCUUAUGUAUCUCCCUUGGAAUACUUGAGAGGGGUUAAUACCCUCGUAGAGAUGAAUGUUCAGAACUUGCUCUCACAGAAGUAAUUGGUGUUGUCACUUGAUAUCAUUGCUGCGUGCAUUGAUUAUAAAAAUCCAGUAUUAACCUUCCUUCAUCUCUGACUGAUCUUUUAACCUUUAUAGGAGUUUUCUUUCCCCUUAAAAUAUUUCACCUUAUUCUGUCAAACAAAUGCAUAUUUUCAUGUUUGAAGCAAGGCGUUGAAAUGAGGUUUAGACACAAAUGGUGCAUCAGUUCCGACCCUCCACAUGGUUGCCUUGCCCUUCCACUAGUGUGUUCUUUGCUUCUGGAACUUGACUGAAACUCUCCAGCCAGUUGCCUUGUCUUGCUGGCCCCGUGAGUACUGAGUCACGUACGUGUGGUUUUGCCGUUGCUACUUUUAAGGUUCUUACAGUGUAUCACUUGCCUAAGUGUUCUAAAUCCUUCUCUUGUGUACCCGAUGGGGAAAAAUCAACAGCCAGCUUUGAGAGGAACCUCUUGGGAACAGUUAUUAACUGACACAACUAAAUGAAGGCAACAGAAGAUGUUAUCAGUGUCCUCUGUAACCUGAAAACUGAACAAGGCUAUGAGGCUCAUUUUAAAAUAUUUUGAAGUGUUAAAAAACCUACACAUAUAUAUCUACGCUGUUUUCGGUCGUUCCACCCAAACCGUUUUAGAAAGGUAAGAUGUCGCAGGGGCUCUUCAGUUGUUAACUGAGCUCAGCAGCGAUGGUGGCCCCUGUUGUUCUACACCAAUUUCAGUUCAAUAAAAAUGUUAACUUUGC
rnacentral:lncRNA from 1 species